rnacentral:misc_RNA from 1 species
GAAAUGCGAUAAGUAGUGUGAAUUGCAGAAUUCAGUGAAUCAUCGAAUCUUUGAACGCACAUUGCGCCCCUUGGUAUUCCAUGGGGCAUGCCUGUUCGAGCGUCAUUUGUACCCUCAAGCCCUGCUUGGUGUUGGGUGUUUGUCCCGUCUCCGCGCGUGGACUCGCCCCAAAGUGAUUGGCAGCCGGCGUACUGGUCCCGGAGCGCAGCACAUGUCGCGCAAACGAGUGCCUUGGUACGGCGGCGUCCAUAAGCCCCUCUCUCACGCUCUUGACCUCGGAUCAGGUAGGGAUACCCGCUGAACUUAAGC